GCGGGACAAGCACGGUGCUCCCUCAGGCGUCCCCAGCCAAAUAAACUUAUUCAAUACAUAUAUACCAGAAAUCUAAAACAUUUAACAAUAAUACUUAUCAAAGUAUGAUACUCUGCCAUUAACAGUAACCUAUCAGGUGGUUUCUCUGAAAUUCAUGCAUCCACAUAUUUUUAAUUCAGGGAUAUACAGUUGCUGGUGGUGAUAGCAUCUAGAAGUUUAACUUAAGGUGUAAUACAUUUUUGUUUGUGACUCAAAGAACACGUAUACA